GUACUAAGGUAAGGCCAAGGCCUUAUGAUGUAUGAUGAAAUCUGAGACACACACUUCAUGUCAAGAGCUAUCAAUGAACACACAAUGAAGAAUGAUUCCUAAUCUGAAGUACAUUAAUUCUCUACUGCGUCAGCUCUCUCAAAAACCUCGUAAUAUGUCUUAAUGUCUUCUUGCGUACUCAAGGACAAGUUCAGCAAUACAUGACUAACUGUGGAGUGUUUGAAGCAUCAUGACUCAACAUCAAACCUAAACCAAAGGCCUUCAAGUAAGCAUCAAAGCAAGUCCAUUGUAACAACCGAGUCGAGGCUGCCGUAACUACAAACAACCCGGUAAACAGGCCUCUUGUGUCACCUUUAACAGUUACAAAUGACAAGUAGUGGUCCUCAAUGUAAGUACUACAGAACACAUGACACAUAUUCACUUUACACCCUUUAAUCCACAAAGAGGACCUAAAACCUGUUCUCAUUGGUUGGCAUCAGGCCAAACUGUUUAAAACAAGGGUCUUGUUUUGAAGUUCGGGACAAACCAAAGAAUCUGGCCUUCACAUUCUGACAAACUGUUGCCUUGCAAUUGGGAGGCAAACCUUUCCACCCAGGAGUUCAAGGCUUGCCAUACCCUGCACUUUGCCAUACAGACAGUGAGCAAGGUGGGCGUAAGAUGCCGAGUGGAAGUUCCCCCAAAGUAUAGCAUGCACAUUUCAGGCCUGCUUCAGAGACAACAGAGACUGAAGUGCCCACAGCCCAGUACUACAGAGCUCAAUUGGCUGUGACCACCCUCCCAACAACAAUUGUUGGAACACCACUACAUCUACUAAAAGAGGGGAAGAUUUUGAAGAGUUUGCAGUGAGGAGCCACUUGAAGUCUCUUGCCUGUUCCGACAAGAGCUGAACAUUAUCUAUAUGCAGUAACAUGUAGACCAAAAUGUUCUGAAUUUAGACGACAAAAUGUACUGAAACAUUGGGGGAUACAAAGGUUGACAAUAUUGCACUGGAGCAACAUGCCAUUAUUGUUCUUGUUCAACUCACAUCAGAAUGGCGAUGCUACUCUUAAAAACAAAUAAGAGUGUCCUUUACAACUGAGGAUGCUUUACGAGUGCGAACUUUUGUAAAAUCAAAGUACACUUUUCAGGCUGAGAGCACUCGCUGCGGACUUCCAUUCACGCACUACACUCUUCAAAAAGCAGUUGUGCUCUUCAAUUUUGCACAAGGUCCUUCAUUUUCUUUGAAGAUAAGUGCAUAAAUGUUGCAACUGAGUAGGGUAACGGUAUGGACUGUCAGUUUGCGGGAGCUUGAGUGUAUGAUUUAUACGUUUGCAGUCAAUACUUUGACAGGUCUGAAAAGCUUUAAGGCUGGCUGUAUGAAUCCUGUAAGGGCAAAGCUAUUCAAUGUACUACACUUGCCUAUGUUUUAGACUGGCUGGUCUUGAGCGAUAACAGGAACAUGUACUGAUUAGGUUUGAUAUGACACAAUAUGGACUACAUUAUUCUUGUGCAGCAUUACCCUCUUACAUGUAACAGUUAUUCUAAAAUAGGCAGGAUAAUUGUAUGAUAGACUCUUGCAUUAGGGAACCUUCCUAAAUGACCCGAAUCAAAAUGUAAGCUAUAUCAUGGAUUUUACACUACAAUUAUGCCUUAUAAUCAAAUGUACAUUUAUUUCCUUUCCCUGGGUCUAUUCUGAACCAAGAACUGUUAAGAUGGUAAAUAUGUGCAUUAUGCUAAUUUUGAAAUGUUUUAUUUUUAUCUUUCAGUUGGUACAAUAUAUUAGAAGAAAAGGUCUAUAUAGAGCUAUUUUGAAAUUCAUCAUUGUUAUCAGUAAACAUUUUAUCUAUGCAUAAACAUCUUUAUUGAUAAUUUGUAUCUUUUGCUGUUUUUGGACACAGAACAUACAUGUAAGUCACACAUCUAAAAUAAUUUACGUUAUGAUUUUCCCUUAUACUCAUCAAAAGAUUUCUGUCAGAUAGUCCUUGAACAAUUUGUUACAAAUAUAUAAUGUAGCAAUGUGAUCUAUAUUUUACCAAAUACACUCAAUCUGUUUUGAUUUUAA